rnacentral:misc_RNA from 1 species
AAAAGUCGUAACAAGGUCUCCGUUGGUGAACCAGCGGAGGGAUCAUUACAGAGUUAUCCAACUCCCAAACCCAUGUGAACUUAUCUCUUUGUUGCCUCGGCGCAAGCUACCCGGGACCUCGCGCCCCGGGCGGCCCGCCGGCGGACAAACCAAACUCUGUCAUCUUAGUUGAUUAUCUGAGUGUCUUAUUUAAUAAGUCAAAACUUUCAACAACGGAUCUCUUGGUUCUGG